CAUGGACCCAUCAAAGUGUCUGAAGGAGACUUUUACAGCUUUAAUGCAACUGUUACAACUGCUUGAGCUCGUAGUUCAUGAUGUACAGGAUUAAUCAGGACGCCAGUUUACAUUUGAGAUUAUCCAGAGUUUGGGGUUGAUGUCUACGUUACAGUGAAGAUCCUGGAAAUUGUAGCACUCGACAGUUCAAUCAAAAUCUUUGAGUGAUGGUUUAGAUCAAGAUCCUGCAACAAACCAGUGAAGGUAAGCUGCAGGCACAUUAUCCUUUCAACAAUAAACUGUCUUUGAAGAAAGGGACAAGUUCCUAUUAUAAAAGAGAAAAGGGUUCUUUGUCUCUGAAGACUGAUACUCAACAAUUAUACAGAAAAAAUCUUUUUGAGAUGAUGAUUCUUUCAUUUCCACAUGAUGCAUCACAAGCAGUUUACGUCAACAAUGAUUGAGAUUCAAGCAUCAUGAAGGAGAGGAGGAAGAUGUCAUGUUCACUUUAAAUUAUAUAUUUCUCUAUCUUUACGUCUCAUAGAGAUAAGUGAGAUAAACAAAGCUUCAAGUCCAAACAGGACAGAUGAUAACAUACUGUAGCUUCAUUAUUAGUUUGUGUAAUAUUGUGCUGAUUUAUGAUGUCCUUAUUAUUCUUUUUCUUUGCCUCAACUGUGUUUUCUUUUAAUGUGCAGAUAUAUUUUUCCAAACAGAAGUUUAAACAGUUAAAGACACAUUAUUGCUGUGAUGAGGAAGCAGAAAAUGUGGAUAUUUAUCUUUUAUUAUCACAGUUGUGUUUGUAUGUACGUGUGGAUGACUGCUGGAUUAAAAGCAUCCGAAGUGAGCAAAGCAUUUUCUUCACAGAGGUUUUCUCCUCAGUGCUGUAUUGCAGAGCAGCAGUGAUACAGACUGUACACAAGUCAGUUCAA